GGAUUAGAUACCCUGGUAGUCCACACCGUAAACGCUGUCUACUAGCUGUUUGUGACUUUAAGUCGUGAGUAGCGAAGCUAACGCGCUAAGUAGACCGCCUGGGGAGUACGGCCGCAAGGUUAAAACUCAAAUGAAUUGACGGGGGCCCGCACAAGCGGUGGAGCAUGUGGUUUAAUUCGAUGCAACGCGAAGAACCUUACCUACACUUGACAUGCAGAGAACUUUCUAGAGAUAGAUUGGUGCCUUCGGGAACUCUGACACAGGUGCUGCAUGGCUGUCGUCAGCUCGUUUGC
rnacentral:rRNA from 1 species